GCCGUAGUCACGGAGCGUCCACGGGGGCCGUCGAGGGAGGCCGCCCUGUGGGGCGCAUGGGGGCGACAACGGCCACGCUCGCAGGCCAGCGGGGACCCCUAGACCCUCCUCGUGGACGCCAGCCCAUUUCCCCCCUGAAGGAGGAAGGACCCCACAGUCCCUGCGGGCCUCCGCCGUCGGCGACCUGCCCCCCAGGGCCACCCCUUCCUGGCCCGGAAUGUCCAGGGGUUACCUUCCCAAACCCUCCCCGGUGUCCUGACGCCCCUCCCCGCAGAGUCGCGGCCCGGACACGCAGCCCGGACACCAGUGGCCGAGGCCCCUCCGAGGGACAACCCCACACAGCACCCGGUGAGGCCGCAGGACCGCCGCCGGCCCCGCGCCCCCCGCCCUGAGCGAGGCGGCGAUGACAGGGCCCGGGGCUACAGGGACGACGGGGACACGGUGACCACGUGCGUACAGAAAUGCCACCGGUGUUUAUUCAGGAAAACGUCAGCUCACGACGUCCCCGUUAGAGAAACCCUCCAUAAAACUGGAAAUCUACACGUAUGUGCGUCUGUGCGGGCGGCGACCGCACCACACGAUCCAACCCGGACUGCAGAGCCCACGGAUCCGGCGCGACCCCGCGCUCCCCGAGCCCCGCGCGCGCAGAGCGGAGGGCGCGCCACAGACCCGGCGCACGCGCGGAGCGGAGUACGGAAGCGCCGCAGGACUCAGCCUCCCAGACCCCUGAGGCGGCGAAAAGGGGUUCUGCGCAGGCGCGGAGUACGGGAGUGCCGCAAAUCCAGGGCCCUCGCUUCUGAUGAGAGCCCGACCUUCAAACUCCGGUCGCAUUCUGUCCUUGGGUUCCGUGGGAAGGGGGAUCUUCGGUUCCACGGUCAUUUCAAGUCAAGAUUUCCUCUUCUGCGCGUGCUCUGGCCACGUGACUUGGCACGUUUCCUGUUUCCUGAAAGGCGAUUCUCAACCUCUCUGUUGAUAAGAGAUGGCUCAGUUGACCUGGUGCUGGCGGGCCUGCGGUUACACCGCCAGCCGCAGGCUCGGGAUCCCCAAGGCGGUGCUUGGUGUGACAGCUCUCUGGAAGGGCCUGGAGCUCGCUGAGAGCUGAACCACGCAUGGCCAUGGUUCGUCACAGGGAAGGGACACAGAUGAAAACCGGCUCAGGAGAGGCGCCCGGGCAGAGUCUGAGUCCCCAGAUGCGGAGCACCCCCCUUCUUCCCAGCUCACCCCACAGACACCUUCCUGGAACGGAACUUGGAUAGCGGCAUGUGGGUGUGGUUCCAGAUGCAGACUCUGAGAUGAGAUUUGUAUGAAGGACAUGCUCCCCGGAAACGUGGCUGGGAGUGGGGAGUGGACGGGGAUGGGGAGGAGGCGCAUGCAGGCCUGUGGAGGGACAAGGGCUCCAUCCCGUGGAGGAACUCCGGACUCUGCAGGUCAUGGCUCGCAGGUGUCCCCAUCUGGAGGUGAGUGGCUUUGAGUGUUUGUGCCCCUGCCUGGCAGUCACCUGUUAAGGGUUGUAAAUCGCGACAACCCCAGCCCUCAGGAGCUCAGGGAAGGGCCCUCCUGUGGCCGGAGGGCGGCCCUCUGUCAAAGAUCCCGAUGAUGCCCCAUGGGAGUGGGGUCCUAGAGCCCAGGGGUGUGAGAUGGCGGAUGGAGACCUGGACGCGCAUCUGUGGCCGUUAUCAUCAGAGACCCCGCAUCCAGAGGGGCUAAUGGUUUUCUCCUCAGACAAGUGAGGGCUCCUGGUGUGACUGUCCGACCUCACGUGCCAGUGGGGUCAGCACCCGGCCCAGAAGCAGCAGCUCAGCAGCCACCUGCCGUCACCCUCGCCCCGACUGUGGUCACAGUGUCCCCACACCUGGGCAGAGAUGGGGCAGUGUUUUCUCUCCUUCAGAUGCCGCCCAGGCCCAGGCUUUGCCCCAGAGCCUGGGGGCCGUGACAAGAUCACCACGGACUGCAGGACUGCCUGCUGUCUGCUCCAUCCCACACAGACUGUUCCCCCGUCCUCCCUCCUGUCUGGUUUGAGAUGCCAGCCUCCGUCAUCCUGACCCCCCAGUGGUCACAGCCCCGGCUUUGGGCAAAGCCUGCUAGAAAAACUGUGAAAAAUGAAAAUGGGAAAAAUUGGAAAAACCACUGCUGUGUGUCCGGCUCCCCCUGGAUUGUGAUUCUACUGGGACCUGUGCCUUUCAUCCUCUUUGAGCUAUUUUACAACUCUCAGGCUGCAGAAAGCUUGAACUAAUGCAGAUAAUUCUUGCCUGUAGAAAUGCAAAUAAAUUUUGUCUGUUCAAAUGAAAUUGAUUAUCACCCUGUAGGGAUUGACCCAUUUCGCAUCUAUUUGUAAAUUUAUUUCAGCAUUUCUGAUUGUCUG
rnacentral:lncRNA from 1 species